rnacentral:other from 1 species
AGGGCGGGCUGCUAGCGCGGGCCUGGCUGAACGCCGCGCCGGUCGGAGUCCUCGGUCACCCGCGGCCCUCCUCCCUCUCAGCGUCCAUCUGUCCGGAGGGCAGCCGGUGGACAUGACCGAUCCACCAGGAGCGCCGCCGCCGGCGCUCGCAGGCCGCGGGUGAAGAAGAAAGCACGUCCCCACUCGACCUGGAGCGAGAGGGUGACCCAGGCCGAGGAGGUGACCAGAGGCGAGGAAGUGAGUCGGGCGGAGGAGGUGGCCCCGA